GACAGAGGCCCCAAGCGUUAUGCGGAAUCACUGGGCUUAAAGCGUGUGUAGGCGGAUCGUUAAGUGUCUUGUGAAAUCCCACGGCUCACCCGUGGAACUGCUGGGCAUACUGGCGAUCUUGGGCCAACUAGGGGCAGCCGGAACAAGCGGUGGAGCGGUGAAAUGCGUAGAUAUCGCUUGGAACGCCGAAGGUGAAAACAGGCUGCUGGGGUUGCGCCGACGCUGAGACACGAAAGCCAGGGGAGCAAACGGG
rnacentral:rRNA from 1 species